GACGAACGCUGGCGGCGUGCUUAACACAUGCAAGUCGAACGGAAAGGCCCUGCGUUUGUGGGGUGCGCGAGUGGCGAAAGGGUGAGUAACACGUGAGUAACCUGCCCUUGACUUUGGGAUAACUGCAGGAAACUGGGGCUAAUACCGGAUAGGAGCUCCUGCUGCAUGGUGGGGGUGGGAAAGUUUCGGCGGUUGGGGAUGGACUCGCGGCUUAUCAGCUUGUUGGUGGGGUAGUGGCUUACCAAGGCUUUGACGGGUAGCCGGCCUGAGAGGGUGACCGGCCACAUUGGGACUGAGAUACGGCCCAGACUCCUACGGGAGGCAGCAGUGGGGAAUAUUGCACAAUGGGCGGAAGCCUGAUGCAGCAACGCCGCGUGCGGGAUGACGGCCUUCGGGUUGUAAACCGCUUUCGCCUGUGACGAAGCGAGAGUGACGGUAAUGGGUAAAGAAGCACCGGCUAACUACGUG
rnacentral:rRNA from 1 species